rnacentral:tRNA from 1 species
AUUUAUAUAGUUUAAUUAAAAACAUUACAAUUUCAAUGUAAAAAUAGAUUAUAUCUUAUAAAUA